rnacentral:rRNA from 1 species
UACGUAGGGUGCAAGCGUUGUCCGGAAUUAUUGGGCGUAAAGAGCUCGUAGGCGGCUCGUCGCGUCGGCUGUGAAAACCUGGAGCUCAACCCCGGGCCUGCAGCCGAUACGGGCGAGCUAGAAUUCGGUAGGGGAGACUGGAAUUCCUGGUGUAGCGGUGAAAUGCGCAGAUAUCAGGAGGAACACCGGUGGCGAAGGCGGGUCUCUGGGCCGAUAUUGACGCUGAGGAGCGAAAGCGUGGGGAGCGAACAGG